rnacentral:rRNA from 1 species
UUCGCAAUGCCCGAAAGGGUGACGAAGCGACGCCGCGUGCGGGAAGAAGGCCUUCGGGUUGUAAACCGCUGUCGGGAGUUAGGAAGUGCAAGGAUGUUAAUAGCGUUCUUGCUUGACUAAGGCUCCGGAGGAAGCCACGGCUAACUCUGUGCCAGCAGCCGCGGUAAUACAGAGGCGGCAAGCGUUGUUCGGAAUUAUUGGGCGUAAAGAGCACGUAGGCGGCUCUGCAAGUCAGCUGUGAAAGCCUUCUGCUUAACGGAAGAACAGCAGUUGAAACUACAGGGCUUGAGUGCGGGAGGGGAGAGUGGAACUUCUGGUGGAGCGGUGAAAUGCGUAGAUAUCAGAAGGAACGCCGGCGGCGAAAGCGGCUCUCUGGUCCGCAACUGACGCUGAGUGUGCGAAAGCUAGGGGAGCAAACGGGAUUAGAUACCCCGGUAGUCCUAGCCGUAAACGAUGGGCACUAAGUAGAGGGGUUUU